rnacentral:rRNA from 1 species
UCCGGAAACCGGGGCUAAUACCGAAUAAUCCAUUUUGCUUCAUGGCGAGAUGUUGAAAGACGGUUUCGGCUGUCACUACAAGAUGGGCCCGCGGCGCAUUAGCUAGUUGGUAGGGUAAUGGCCUACCAAGGCGACGAUGCGUAGCCGACCUGAGAGGGUGAUCGGCCACACUGGGACUGAGACACGGCCCAGACUCCUACGGGAGGCAGCAGUAGGGAAUCUUCCACAAUGGACGAAAGUCUGAUGGAGCAACGCCGCGUGAGUGAAGAAGGUUUUCGGAUCGUAAAACUCUGUUGUAAGGGAAGAACACGUACGAGAGUAACUGCUCGUACCUUGACGGUACCUUAUUAGAAAGCCACGGCUAACUACAUG